UCCCAGCUGCUCCAGGGGCCGCCGGCUGCAGCAGCAGCAGCAGAGCUGGUGCUGCUCCUUCCCACUGUGCAUGUUUGGAAUAUUUCAGAGCACUUUGAAUGUGAAGGACAGCGAGGCCGAGGGGAGAGCCCGGUUCAAUCAACUUUCACCAGAGAGAGAAAAAAAACAAAAAACAAAGAGGAGGAAAAAACACGCCGCCUUCACAAGAAUGUGAACUCAACAGGAGGAGUUUACUCUGAGACGGGGACUGGAGAGGGUCUCUAUCCUGUUUGAUCCCCGGGGAGGGGGGCGGCUCCUGGACAGUAACACUUCAAGUCCCUCAGAGGUUCAGUCAGCUGAUCCAACACCACUAACCUCCAUGUAUGUCUGUGUUGGAGAAAUACUGACGCCGGACAGUAAAGGGGGUCAAACGAGGGAAUUCGUCUAAAUACGAUAAUGAGACGACAUGGACUUUCCUGAUCUAGAUUUGACCUGGUUUAUCCAGAUCUGAUGUGACAGGAUAUAAUCAGGACCUGAUCUAGUCCCUCCUGAUCAAAUGAAAACGUCGUUUAUCUCUAAACUAUUUCAGGAAUUCACAUUAAAAACAAUCGGAUCUCUUAAACAGAACCAAACAGAGACAGACCUCAUUCUUGACCUCAAACUAACCCAGAGGUGUUUGUUCCUUUGGUACUGAACUUCAGAUGAAGAACCUGCUUUUACAGAUGACCCAAGUGUCCCUGAGAAGAUCAGGGAAACUCCUGAGCUCAACAGUCCGAUGAUGAUAUCAGGCUUUUCCUGUUUACUGACGUCUCCACUGGAAACACUCAGGAAGAAGUUCACAGAAGAAGAAAUCAACUGUGGUCCUACUAACAUGGCUAGAUGGAGAUCCACUUUCUCUUCAAAGUCUCAGUAGGACCAGUUUACACAUGGACCCUGAGCAGGACAAACCAAAACCUCCACAGAAGAAGAAGAGACGUCAAAAGAGACAAGGCGGCGCUGUGGAGUUCUCCUGCUGACCCAGACAUUCAUUCAUGUGGAUGAAUCCGUCCUCGCCUGACGCCACCUGGUGGAGUGGAGGACAUAAAUGUGUUCUGGAGUCGGCACACAGGGACCCGUCUCAGCUGAAGCAUGAGCUGAUCGAUCAGCAGAAGGUUACGGUCAUUUCUGAAGCGAUCAGAUCAUCAGAGAGUUUUUUAUGAUGAUAAUUUGGUGUUUGUUUAGUUUCAUGAACACCUGCAGCUCCUGACUCAGAUCUACGUCUACAUGUGGAGACGUCACAUCAGGCUUUUGUCUCCCGUCAUCACGUCAUUCGUAGACGACACAAAAGGCUCUAAAUGAGACUCCUGAGAGUCUGAGAGUCUGUUUUAUCGAACCCAGGAUCAGAUUCACUCGAUAUAAAUGAUGCUCAGCAUAAACACACAGCGGAGGCCUGGACUACGACGCUGGAUUAACACACCAGGGAUAACUCCGCCACAACUCGUUUAACUUUACCAGAUCUGUGUAACACCGAUCAGCUGGACUACGAAGCAGGACAUCAACUCGGUAAAUAAAUCCAGUUGUGGUCAGUCUAGAUCUGUGUGCGCACACGUAAAAGGGGCGGGGUCAGUGCCACCGGACCAAUCUCUACAACAGAGAAGGCUGCGUGUCAGAUGUCACAGCCGAGGAACAGAGCAUUAUUUAAUAUCAUUAUAUAAUAUCGUGAUAUCAAAUUUUUCAUAUCAGCACAUGCCUACUCGACACCCUCACUGUCAACGUCGGUGUUGAAUAAGGGACCGUCAAUAAAUUAACGGUUGAUGUUCUCAGAAAAGGCUGUUUUCCUUCAAUAGCUUCACUGUCAUGUGACCAAAAGACCUAAAAUUGAUUUUUAAUAAUAUUACUAAGGUCGAUCAAUAAGACAAACAUUAUUGAUCAACUUUCAUUGUUCCCCUAAAGAACAUGUGAACAACGUUAGAGUCAAGUCCUGCGCUAGAAGCCAAAGGGACUGCUGCAAUGAAAAAAAUCACUGAUUGUUAAAUUACAUUUGUUUGUUCAUGGAUUCAGGGUCCUCUAAUAUGUUGUCAUACAGCGUGUGUGUGAUCAUGUGAUCACCAUCAUCACUGACCUCAUUAUUUCAGAUACAACAGCAAAUAAAAAUAAAAACAUCCUUUAAAGGGGUUCGUAGGUUUAUUCUUUGAUUUUAUAUAUUUCGACAUGUAAACAGUGAUUUCCUCGCUCUACCUUGACGAGGAGCUUUUUGCGUUUUUCUCCAUCAUCUGAUGGUCACAUGACAUCUGCAGACACAUUUAGGGUGACGAGGAGUUUUCUAAUCUGCUUCAGUAAAUUCUAAAUGACUGAUAUCCCGCAUGAAACAGGGACUUGGAGAUCGGCAAAUAUGAGUGCGCUGUUUAGACUUCAUGCUGCCUGAAUAUUGAGGAAACUCUGUCAUCAGGUAAAUCAAACGGAUUUGAACGACCACGAACAUAACACUCUCUGCGAAGCGCUCCUCUCACUAUCCGUGCACUGAUGUCCACGGGAUCCGGCGAAAGAGAUCUGAUUGGUCAGUGGGCGGUCUUUUAUACCCGCUGGGAUCUUAUCCGGAAACAGAACCUGCUCCGGAGCAGGUGUGGGCAUGGAAAGAAUUCCACCUUCGUCGUACAGAAACCCAGGAGUAACGGUGCGCUCCAGUUUCCUCGGAAGUCAGAUGUCGGAGCUGAAGAUGACGUCACUCUCGGGUUCCCAGCGUUUUAGUUACAAAGUCGGAAAAAAGGAAAAUCGGAGGCAGAUGUAGCCUUCGUAGAUGUAGCCAUCUUGUCCGAUCAUACUCCGACUACGCUGGUUACAUGGUCGAGAAAAUCGAAUUCCAAUCUCAUUAUCUGGGUGUUUUAAUCGGAGUUCUUCAACUCCAAUUAUAGUCGGACUAAAGUGUUUACAUGACCUUCAGUUUACGGGUCUUAAUCGGAAAAAGGCGAUAAUUCGGUUUUUUCUCGAGUGUCAUUAAUACGAUCUCAGACCUUUGACCCUGAAAUGACUCAUUUUUGACGGGACCUCAGGAUCUGGACUUUCCUGUUGUCCCCCUUUAAUACUGGAACCCAAACAGAACCCCGCCAGUCUUGGACCUGAACCUCUUGGACCUGAACCUCUUGGACCGGUCUGUUUGUGUUCUAAAACUGAUGCUGGACUGGGUCAGGUCCACAUUCAGACCUGUCAGGACUAGGACCAGGACCAGGAUCAGGAUCAGCUGUAGUCCAUCAGUUCUUGGUCUCCAUGGUCCCCCUUUCUAAAGAGACUCCAGUCUGAUCCACCUCCAGGACUCUGAGACCAGGAUCCACUUCAGAUACAAAACCACCUGACCCCUAUCACAGACAAAACCCUGAUCCAGUUCAGACCCAGAACCCCCCCUGAUCCAGACGAGCAGACCCCCCAGUCCAUCUCUAACCCGGCCCCUCCCCCUCAGGCCUUAAUCUGAACCUUUAAUAUUAUCAAUCCGUUAAUUUCUGAUCAAUAACAGAGGGGUUCGAUUACAUAAUCCACAUAUUAGACCGAGCCCCAGCCAGCUAACCGCAGAUUAGCCACAUUAGCUUUUUCUGGGUUAGCAUCAGUCCGAUCCGGAUCUAACUGGAUCAGGGAAACCCACAGACAUAAACCACCUAGAUUUUCUCUCAUCUUAGAUCAUUAACUCCUCUCAAAGGUUCACUCUGAGGUGACCCGGGUUAAACUGGACCGGUAUAAUUCGGUUCUGAGGCCUACCUUCCUCCUGCGGUCCCAUCACAGGCUAACAGGCUAACGUCGCUGUUAGCUUCUCAGCUAGCUCGGCCAGAAACGGAAAAAGUGUCCGCGGAUAAAAAUGAGAUUCUUCUGACGAGAACAUCGGUGUUCGGCUGUAAUCCUGCCGAAAAACAUCCACGGGAAUCACAGGGGAACAUUCACGAGAGCAGAAACCCGCGGAGAGAACCGAGUUUUCCGAAACAUUGGUCCAAUGUUUGACUAGCUGCCCGAUACCAAAAUGCUACUGCGUAACUAGCUAGCAGCUAGCUAGGCACAGACAGAAGGCUUACCAACAGAGCGCCGAUUACAACUGAUCGAACCCACCGUGAAAAAAAACACAUCCACCGAGAUUAGCGUCAUUAUUUUCGAUGAUCAGAUUAAAAUACAUGUAAUCUUAGUUUUUAGAGAAACUAUUAGAUUAAUUUAAGGAGGAAGAAACAUUUAAUCACACCUGCAAUAUGUUGACUGCUCCCUCGAGUCUUCUAAAAUCGAUUAUAAAUGCCUUGAAUGAGAGGCUCUCUGUUUCAUUGAGGGAAUAAACUGACAGAUCCAUACAGAUUCAGAUUAGAGACGACAUUAAAUGACGGAUUAGAGACAGUAGAAUGACAGAUUAGAGGGUUUUAUUACAUCUUUAGUUUUUCUAAUCAUCACUUUAUUCAUGUGUCCUUCAAAGUUUAUACUUUAGUGUUUUUAAAUUCAUUUUUAUCAGUGUGAGCAAAUAAAUGUCAUGACUUAGGUAAACAUCCAGGGACAUUAUCACAAGAACAUUUUCAUAAAACAGGAUAAAAAUAAAUUUAAAGGGAUAUUCUGGUGUAAAAUUAAUUUAGAGUCAAACCCACGGUAACACCGAGUUAGACCCCCCCUCCAGAGAUGAAUGUUGUCGACCGCUUCCUUCUCUAGUUAUACCAACUUUAGUAACGACCGCAGGAUAGAAAUACAGAGAGCCACGCCCCCAACCAAAACGCCACUCUAUAGCCACAAAUAAUGCUCAGAACAGCACCUAACUUCAUCAACAGGACAUAUAGGGUCACAGACAUAGUACUAGACACCAAACAUCUUUUUAACUUUGACUCAUUUCUUUAGCAAAGAGACUAAACACAACUCACCUACUCUCUUCCAGCAGACGCUUGUUUGUAGUGAGACCUCAG